rnacentral:rRNA from 1 species
AGAGGCCGCUGCUAUCCGGCUGGGACUAAGCCAUGCGAGUUAAGGGACCUGUUCCUCCCCUGGGGGAACAGGUACCGGCGGACGGCUCAGUAACACGUGGACAACCUGCCCUCGGGAGGGGGAUAACCCCGGGAAACUGGGGCUAAACCCCCAUAGGCCAUGGCUACUGGAAUGUGCCAUGGCCGAAAGUUUGCCGUUCCCGCAAGGGGCGGCAAAGCCCGAGGAUGGGUCUGCGGCGGAUUAGGUAGUUGGUGGGGUAACGGCCCACCAAGCCGAAGAUCCGUACGGGCCAUGGGAGUGGGAGCCCGGAGAUGGACCCUGAGACAAGGGUCCAGGCCCUACGGGGCGCAGCAGGCGCGAAACCUCCGCAAUGCGGGAAACCGCGACGGGGCUAGCCGGAGUGCCCGCGCAAUGCGCGGGCUGUCCGGGUGUGUAAAAAGCACCCGAUAGC